rnacentral:rRNA from 1 species
GACGAACCGUGCGAACGUUGUUCGGAAUCACUGGGCUUAAAGGGUGCGUAGGCGGGUAGGUAAGUCAGUGGUGAAAUCUUCGAGCUUAACUCGGAAACUGCCUUUGAUACUAUCUAUCUUGAAUAUUGUGGAGGUAAGCGGAAUAUGUCAUGUAGCGGUGAAAUGCUUAGAUAUGACAUAGAACACCUAUUGCGAAGGCAGCUUACUACGCAUAUAGUGACGCUGAGGCACGAAAGCGUGGGGAGCAAACAGG